CCUACGUGAGGCAACAGUGAGGAAUAUUGGUCAAUGGGCUUACGCCUGAACCAGCCAAGUCGCGUGAGGGAAGACUGCCCUAUGGGUUGUAAACCUCUUUUGUCAGGGAGCAACGCCGGCUACGUGUAGCCGGACUGAGAGUACCUGAAGAAAAAGCAUCGGCUAACUCCGUGCCAGCAGCCGCGGUAAUACGGAGGAUGCGAGCGUUAUCCGGAUUUAUUGGGUUUAAAGGGUGCGUAGGCGGAAUGCCAAGUCAGCGGUAAAAUCGCGGGGCUCAACCUCACGUCGCCGUUGAAACUGGCGUUCUUGAGUGGGCGAGAAGUAUGCGGAAUGCGUGGUGUAGCGGUGAAAUGCAUAGAUAUCACGCAGAACUCCGAUUGCGAAGGCAGCAUACCGGCGCCCAACUGACGCUGAAGCACGAAAGCGUGGGUAUCGAACAGGAUUAGAUACCCCUGUAGUC
rnacentral:rRNA from 1 species